GCUGAGAUAGCCAAGCUCGGUCCACGGCGGGGGUCUCGAAAACCUCUGUGCGACAGCACGCGGGGGUUCGAAUCCCCCUCUCAGCACCA
rnacentral:tRNA from 1 species